GCUGGGAUGCCAAACAUCCUAGCAUUCCCAGCAUUGUUCUGCAUGAGCCCAGCACAGCCCCACCCCCCGGAGACACACUCUUGGAGGCGGGAGCAGGGUUACCGCUUCCUCCGUCAAGCUUUGAAAAGACAACGGCAAGCCAAAAUGAAGAGGGCAGCGAAUACUGUGGAGAUCCAAGAUCCAUCCACACAAGAGAAGACAGCUGAAUGCCCACCACGAGAUGCGAGUUGUGCCAUCUCUACCAUGUCUACUGGGGUCCAGAAGAAAUUGGGAAGGAAGCAGGGAUGUGAAUAUUGCUCUCAAUACUAGUCUCACAUCCACAUCCAGGAAAAUAUCAUCAAGCACUAUGUUUGCAGAAGAUAAGGAGAAAACCCAACAGCAGCUGCCCCUUAGGAGAGUCUGUUACUAGGACAGCCAAUUGAUGAGGAGGAAUGAGCAUUUGAAACAGAACAUAGCACAUGUCUAAGCAAAGAAGGCUUCUUCAGAGCAGAUGCUUGUAGAUUUGACCAUGAAACAAUGUUAAACUAGCUUCCUUUUCACAUUCACAAGCAGUCCUCAAUACACGGAUGGAUGCUGUGAGCCUGCGAAUCUACUAGGUGACACUUCCUGAACUUUUCUCCAUCGUGGAAACCCUUGCUCCCAUGGCCCUGAAUUAACAACCCCUAGAAUGCAUGCUCUGGAAAUCCCAGUUGGAAGACUUAUCUGAGGUUAAGGGAGAGAUGGUGUUUGGGAGACAACGGUAAAGAAAAGGAGCAAAGGCAACAUGGAGGGUACAAAGAAAAGACACCCGCGGGACAUCCUCCAUCUUCCCCAACUCUGCCCCGAGACAUUUGCCACGGCCAUCGCGGACUGCAGGUGAGGCAUCCCUAAUCUGAAAAUCUGAAACCUGAAAUGCUUCAAAUCUUAAAUGUUUUUAAGGCUAAUGUGGCCCACAUGGAAAAUCCCACAUCCUGACUGCUGAUGGUUGAGCAGAUUC